UAUGUUGUUCUGAAAUUAUGUACACUGUUGGGGGGGGAAAUUGUUCUUUAAUGAUUUGUUGGAUAAUCAAGGGUGCGAAACUUUUAUGAGAAUGGAAAACUUUUCGGGUUACAAAAGUGAAAAAUCCUUAAAGGUUAAAAAUGUUCAGAGUGUAUCAACUAUUUUGGAGUCAAAUAUGUAUCAUCGGAAAUACUGAGGUAUGACUCAAGUGACCCAGCAGAAAUCUAGAAAAGUCGUUGGUUUAUAAAGUUUGGAAAAUGUUGAGCAUAUCAGCUGGAGUCAUGGGUUUUACGCGCCCCAGUUCUACAAUGGAACCGCAAAAGCCAAGUCCAAAGCCGCUUGCUGUCGUACUAAAUAGUGUUUCAAAAUAGUACGCACCAUAGGAAGGCUAUUUAACUUACUGUUUAAUACGGUAGUGUGCGGUUUUGGACGUGACUCCUCGUGUCUCCCACAUGUGCGGGCGACAUCUAAUUACAAGCGGAAGACUGACUCACAGAGUAGCUUAUGACAGUGAAUCACGGCUUUACGGUGCGUAAACACGCGCAUAAAUUCAUCCUCGUGCUACGUGUUCAUGACUAAACUAUCUACCGUGUCGUUACACUGGAGAACGUGAGCAGCAGGCACAAAGACACUUUAAAGGAGGAAUGCAACAGGUAUAUGCAAACGAGUUUGUCUAUGUUGUCUAUGCUGCAGAACGGCGGAGGUCGCGCCUCGGUCAUGGGCGGCGUAAAAACAGUCGUUAAAGACGCAACUUCCAACCGUAAAGUUUGUACACACUGAAUAACUUCGUCCGCCGGCAACCCUGAACUAAUGUGUGAUUUCAGCGAACCACUAGAGAACACAAACUCCCGAAAACCACCGGCAGGCAGACCCUACUAUAUAAGAUGGAAUUUGCGUGAACAUCUUCCCCGCACAAAAAAAGGAGUUGCAUUAAAAAAAAAAGAAAAAAAAAAAAAAAGUUGCGCCCCAACGAGGUAUAAUCAUGAACUCACUCGAUGACAUUAUUUACCAUUGUUGUGCAUUCAUAUUUCAUUACUUCAAACAGUCAAGAUACCACAACCCGAGACGUCAAGAGACAGUUGCAUGCUCGUGAUAUACAGGCUACGUCCGAAACUGCAAAAUAUUCUUUCACUGCAUUGGUGUGUCGGAUGUGUUCUAGGCUAUUAUUUAUUAUGCGGUUUAGGACUUAGUUACAGAAGUGUAAAAAAAAAAAAAAAAAAAAAAAAGAAGAAGAAGAAGAAGAAGACAAGCCCACGGCACUGACUUGCUGCGGCUUCCUGGGUCUGCCCGGUCCUCUCUUCGGAGGCUCGGCGGCCGGAGCGGGCUGCUCGCGGGAUCCCGAGGCUUCGGCGGCUUCCUCACCGCGCGCGCUCAUUGCAAUGACUCACAGCCAAACGGGGAAGUUCCUGUAGAUCUGUGCUCCUGCAGCGCGCGCGCUCCGUGUCGCGCACCGGACGUCCUGCUGCAGAAUUACGAGACGAUGGGUGAUGGGGGAUCCACUGUAGUCUGAGCAAGGUCUGAGAAUAACGGUAAUGAAUAAACCAAGGCAGGUAAGGCGUUAGGGAUGCAAAAUAGAAUCUAAAAAGUGGGCCUCGUGAUCCUGGAGGUGUCGCGAUUUGCACGUGCUGCCCGCUUGAGUAUUUGGCACACGCAAGGAAAAAAAAACCGUCUCCUCUUUAGAACGGAGUGGGGGUGGCUAUAGUCAUAAAAUAAGAGAGCGAUCAAUAAGAAUGUUGGUCUUGUCCAUGCGGACGAGCUCGAGACAUUUGCAGCGGGAAAGCGGCGCGCUGUCAGAUGUGCGCGUUGUGCUCGCUGGGCUCAGUGGAGUUCCCAAAAAACUUCGAGGAAAAACUUUUCUACACGGGUCAGCUUAGGAAAAAACAUUCGCCUUUUAAAUGCAUCUCUGUUGCCCACACGGAAACAAGUCCACUAAGUGGACGGGGCUGUGGUAUAUAUAUUAUUUAAAAAAGACGAAAAUCACUUUUCCCGUGGGUGGAUAAUAUGGGGAGGGAGGGGGCACAAGAGGCGCAAAAAGAGAGGGAGGGGGGGGGCAGAAUUGGACGGCUGCCACAGAAAACAUGAGAAAUUCUGCGAGGAGAGACCACAUCGAGACAAACUCAUGUGUCCAGCACCAUUCAUGUUACUGGACGCGGUCCAACGGGUUUAAAGAGACGAAGAGAAAAUGCAUGUUUUAAUAUUGGUCAUUACUGAAGGCAUUUAAUAAUAGCUGCUUAGCUCCAUGCAGUUAAUGAUACAAUAGCGUAACUUGAUCAGGCGUCCUUUCGGUGUGCUUUUUACUGGUAUUUAUUUAAUAUGCAACAAAUCAAUUACCUGUAAAUGUUUAUGUAGAUAAAUUGCUGAUUAAAAAUGAAAUAUUAUUGGCAUAAAAUUUCUAAAACGAUACUACUACUACUACUACUACUACUAAUAAUAAUAAUAAUAAUAAUAAUAAGCAGAAGUGCUCGAGUGUGCAGCUGCAUGUGUGCGUGGAGUGAAACUUGCACACGGACCUCCAGCAGUCGGUGGGCUUUGAAGCGGCCCGCCCAUCGGCGCGCGGCGAGAUCAAUUACACAAGAACAACAGGGCCUGAGAAUGAAGUGCCUUACGUGGAGGCCCUUUCCCACGAUCUGACCGAGCCUGCCUGACAACAGGGGGGACGGCAAAGUCCUCCCCUAACCCUCUCCACACCAACUCGGGCUUGUAGACUUGAGCUGAGACAGCAAAAGGGAGGAGAAAUAAUUUAAUAACCAAAACACCUCAAAUCAAGGGAAACAAAAUCAGUGUACCUAAAGUGUGUUAUUGUUACUUUCCGGUCCAAAGUGUCUUUCCACAUCUGAAGACCUGUUUUAUUAGGGGGAGUGGAAACGGUGUGGUUGACUUCGCAUAAGAAGUCCGGAGUUUCCUGUGAAAGAGAGUGGGUUCAUUUGUCGCUGGUAUUCAGUUCAUUCAUAAAAAACAGCCCCGGGCCCCCCGUCCCCCGGAGAAGGCGGACCAGAAAGGAAUUUCGCCGCGCUCUUCCUAAGGCCACGCCCCCGCAGACAGACCGGCGUCGCGAGCGCAGGCGCGUGAAACGAGGCCAAUCAAUAGGCACUGCCGCAAACCACUGCUGAAAGUCCUGGCGAGAUCGAUUACGGGCCACUCGAAACUUUCGUGAAGGCGGAAGUGCUUGAGUCAAAUACACACAUUGUGCAAAAAGGUAUUUUUCUCUCUAGGUUAAAAAAAAUGGCACUUUGGUUCCAUUAAUCAUCAUGGAUAAGAGAGUAGAGACUGCAGGGAAUAGUUUGUGUACAGUGGGGGUUGAUUAUUGCACUUGUUUCAUUUAUGUAUUUCCCCCCUUCAUCAACCCAAUUAAAAAUGUUAAAAUGCACUAUGAAGGUGUAAAAAAAUAAUACUAGAAGGAACCUCUGCACCCCUUUGGACUGAAGAUACUUUUCACUCCCUUUUUCCUUUUGCAGUGGAGAACAAAUUGUGAAGGGAGAUUGGUCACUAUAAAAAGAGACCAGUAACAGACCCUCACUACCCAAUGUCAAUUUGAACCAUUUCAUUGUGUUUACACACAGCCACAUGAGGGACGUGGGGCUACAGCCGCACCAGAGACAAAUGGUUAAAAGCCUUUCAGCUGCCAGAAGUAGAGCUAGUAAGAAGAACGAACAGAAAUGAAUGAACAUCCCUGCACAUGAGUGAAGUUAUUUAUUGAAAUAACCUGUCAUUGAAUUGCAAUAUUGUAUUCUCAUCCAAGAACUUGUUCUACAAGUAUUUAAACAUUUUAUUUAGGGUUUCGGUUUUUGAAGAUACUGAGCAUUGGCUUUUCAAAGCUCCUUGUCUUUGCAUAGGAAAUUAGCAAAUUAAAUAUAGAAGUGGAAGGGGGAAGAAAAUGCAUCCAGAUGGUUGGCCACCCCAUUGCCUUGGGUGGGGGAAGUGGCAUUGGAGCACCACUGACCACACAGUGGUACUGUCUGUGUAGUAACAAGCACAGGAAUGGGUUAUCUAGGGCCAAUUGCAAUGCUGAGGAAGGGGAGGGAAGCGUGGUGUUAGUGGUUCCCCCAGACCACAGAAACAAAUUAUUAUCCUGGGCUGCUUUUCCUGUUGACUCCCUUCUAUGGUCACAUGGACAUCUGGUUGUCUCCCAGGCCACCUUUAAGGGACAUGGGACAAUGUGUUUGAAUUCAGACUCACUCCCAAAGGCUGGAAAUGAGCAGCCUGAUGAGCUGUAGGGAUUGCUGCGCUGUGUAGUCUGCAGGUUCUCAUGUGCCUAGUGGAGCUAAGAAGGGCAAGGUGAAGGGAACUGGUCGAAGUGCAAAUUAACCUCUGUGAACUAAUCCUGUAUUUUAGGAAGUGUUUCCCAGAGGAAGCUGGUGUAGUGUGCUGUGCUCAGGCCAGGAAAAAGGUGUUCUUUGAGAACACACGCGCGCACACACACACACACACACACACACACACACACACACACACACACACACACACAUACACACACACACACACAGUCAGUGGACUCUUCUCAUUUUCUAGACUUGACUUAGGUAUCGUAAAUGUUAUCGUAAAUUUUGUAGCUCAAAUAAAUGAGCAGUCUUUUGUCUGAAUUCAUACAAAUGAAACCAUAAAGAAAGAUAUAACCAUUAAACCAGUCCUUUAAUAUUUUCCAUACAUAUCAAGUUGUGUAAAUUCCUAUAAAUCUGCAAGCUCAUUACUUUGUUGAAAAUUGCUAUGACUAUCUAAAAGACAGAUGAAUUUUCAAGUAUAAAAUAAAUCUCCAUACCUCUCCAUACCUCUGAAUCCAGAAUCCAGACUUUUCCCCACUCACUACUUGGGAGUCCAGAAGCAUUCAUUUAAAAGAUCAGACUUACAGGCUCAAGUUACACGGGUGAAAUCAUAAACUCCUUACAUUUUCAGAUCCUGAGAAUCUCAUCUAAGCUAAUGUACACUUCACAGACACCUGUGUUUGUACACAAACACAACAUAUAAUGGCUUACAACAGGCUGUUUGUGGGGUCUCCUGGGCAGGUGAGGGGGGCCAGGCCACAGGUAAACCUAGGGUGUUAUCAGUUUUGUUACACUAUCUCACAUUCACUGUGUUUGUGCUGUUGAUAUGCUCAUGCCGACGGGGCGGGAAAGCCCACGGCCUCGGGUUCAUUCCAUGAAGUUAUGUGAUUGAUUGGUGUGUUUUGGAGUGGAGAAGCAGAAGGCAGGGUUGAACACUGCAAAUGGCAAAUGCCUAAUAUGUAAAAUGUAUAAACUCUUCAGGGAAAUUCUAACAAUUACAUAACUAUUUUAAAGACGGAUUUCAGAAUCAAUAACUUAAAAGUUGUUUUUAAUUGCGCGUCAGUUUUGCUGAAAACCCAUGAGCUUCAGUGAUUUGUUCACUGAGCUCCACAUUAAAGCACAAAUCUUUUACCACUUUUCUUCUGUUUUGUCAGGUGAGAUCCAAUUGCCUUUAAGCUUUUCAAGCUGUUACAAAUAAAAAAUAAUCUACUUAUUUAUUCAGGAUGCAUUACUGUUCAAUCUGAAUAAUGUAAUUGUAAUCAGCCCUAUUAUAGAAAAUAGAUAUAAUGUUUAUAUGUAUAUAUGAUUUUGUUCCCCAAAUCAAGACAUGCGCUAGAAACACAAACACUUACUCAUGUUCAGUGAAUUUUCCAAAUAACUUUGCACACAUAUGCUGCAUGCAUAUGCUUUCAUUGAGCUCCAUAUCAUUUUAAUUUAGCUUUAUAAAGCAGGCGUUGUGUGACAUGCCAGAAGUUAACCAGGUUAAUUGAAUGGUGGCACUUGACCCCAGGAGAAGGUCAGAUGUAAGGCUGAGCAUUUAAAAGAUAGGGUUAUAUGUGGGACAUUCUUCAGUGGGGGAGUCAUAAGGAGAAGCGUAUGUCACAUUGGCAUGAGAGAGGAUAAAACAUCUGAGACAUUUUCUCUGAGUAUGUGGCCUGUGUAUCAUGUUUAAACCAUCUGAUCCACUGCAGAUUUGUGAUUAUAAAUUAUAGCAGAUAAUGAUAUGUUCUUUGAAAGCUAAUGAUUUGUAAUUUUCAGGUAUGCUAGAUGACAGAAUAUAGACUUUAGUCAAAAGCUGGUUAUGUACUCAACCCAGGCACUUCUACAAAAAAAUUCCACAUUUUGUAGUUUUUAAAUAAAUAUAUCUACAGGACUUGUUCUUAAAAAUCUAUUCAUCCAAAAAUGUGCAUUUUAUUUGGAUUUUUUUUAACAGCUCAGAGGUAUAUCAUUACGCUGAGUCUGGCUCUCCUGCUCUGUUUCAGUUCAGUAACUGCUAGUACUGACAUAUCUCACUCUGUUUAUUUCCUGAGAUGGCGGGAUUCAGGAAAUCACUGGCAGAAAACCCUAGUGACCGUUGACUUUGUGUUUCCAGAGACCUAAAGAAGACAUUGGAAUGCAGACACCACGCAUCAGACAGAGCUUGAAGACAGAAUCUAAUGCUUAUGAAGGCAGUCUAAACAAACCUCAAGGUCUUCAGUUAAAGUCGUGGUUAAAGGUGUUAAAGCAGAUGACUGGGACACAGGUACUCAAGUACACAGGCAUCCCUUACAUCAGAAUACAACCUUGAUCAUAAGCCCAAUACAAGCCUUUAGGGUAUUUAGGGGACCUCAGUGGUACAAUUAUACUUACCAGUAA